rnacentral:rRNA from 1 species
CCUACGGGAGGCAGCAGUUAGGAAUCUUGCGCAAUGGGCGAAAGCCUGACGCAGCGACGCCGCGUGCGGGAUGACGGCCUUCGGGUUGUAAACCGCUUUCAGCAGGGACGAUUAUGACGGUACCUGCAGAAGAAGCCCCGGCCAACUACGUGCCAGCAGCCGCGGUAAUACGUAGGGGGCAAGCGUUGUCCGGAUUUAUUGGGCGUAAAGAGCUCGUAGGCGGUUUGGUAAGUCGGGUGUGAAAUCUCCACGCUCAACGUGGAGGGGCCACUCGAUACUGCCAUGACUCGAGUCCGGUAGAGGAGUGUGGAAUUCCCGGUGUAGCGGUGAAAUGCGCAGAUAUCGGGAGGAACACCCGUAGCGAAGGCGGCACUCUGGGCCGGAACUGACGCUGAGGAGCGAAAGCGUGGGGAGCAAACAGGAUUAGAUACCCUGGUAGUCCACGCCGUAAACGUUGGGCACUAGGUGUGGGGAUCUAUCGACGGUUUCCGUGCCGAAGCUAACGCAUUAAGUGCCCCGCCUGGGGAGUACGGCCGCAAGGCUAAAACUCAAAUGAAUUGACGGCUGAACGCGCGACGACGACACGAGGAGGUAG